AAGGAAUAUUGGACAAUGGUCGCAAGACUGAUCCAGCCAUGCCGCGUGCAGGAAGACGGCCCUAUGGGUUGUAAACUUCUUUUAGACGGGACAAAACCCCUUUACGUGUAAAGGGUUGAUGGUACUGUCAGAAUAAGCAUCGGCUAACUUCGUGCCAGCAGCCGCGGUAAUACGAAGGAUGCAAGCGUUAUCCGGAAUUAUUGGGUUUAAAGGGUGCGUAGGCGGACUAAUAAGUCAGUGGUGAAAGCCUGCAGCUUAACUGCAGAAUUGCCAUUGAUACUGUUAGUCUUGAGUACAGUUGAGGUAGGCGGAAUGUGUCAUGUAGCGGUGAAAUGCUUAGAUAUGACACAGAACACCGAUUGCGAAGGCAGCUUGCUAAGCUGUAACUGACGCUGAGGCACGAAAGCGUGGGGAGCAAACA
rnacentral:rRNA from 1 species